GUUCUGUCCAAGCGCUCGCGUCGUGAAGCUGCAAACAGUAAGACGAUUGGUCGAAUCAGUUCUAAAGCCUAAAAAGGAAUUAUGACAAAGACUGGCUGAAAGGGAAGCAGACAGGCUUUUGGCUGAUCUACGGUUUGAACGGAUCCACAAACCUUUGAAUCCAGAGGCCCUCGACUUUGCCAAAAACAUCUCGGGAAAAAGAUCAGCAAGAAAACAUUGGCUUGAAGUCAAAAGGUUCUCGGCGUACGUACCAAAGGUGCUUAUAUUUACAAAAUGCUUCACGCUAGGGACCGACCUUUUGAUAUUUGAUAACGAAGAUCCAAAAACCUCUCCGGAAAAAGACCAAAAAAGAAAAUAUUGCCUUGAACACAGCGACGUACCAGAGACAAACGGAAAAGAAAAAGAGCAAGCCAACUAGCCACGAUAAAACAAAGUUUCGUUAGAAACAACAUUUCAGGGAAGAUUUUGACAAGCACAAAUUUUAAAAUACAACCCGGCGGGAGGGGAUUGUUUUCUUCAGUCCUGAAUGUCUUCUAGGAGACGCUUUUAAUUGGAUUUAAAGUGAGGUCAUCACUUCCCGCUGACUCGCGGGACAGUGAGAGCUAAAGUAAUAUAACAGGGUUAUAAGAACCCGCUGUAACUUACACAAAACCUACCGUUUUCUCUUCAAUUUGUCCAUUCAAGUUCUGCACAUGUGAUUUGAGAUUUCAAUUUACUCAGAUUCGCUUUUAAUCUCGUAAAGCUUUGUGCGUGAUCUGUUUUGGAAUCCCGCCAUAUUUUAGAAGCAGUUAAUUGAACAGGAAGAUGAAGUCAUCUGAAUCAAUUCUUUAUUAUGAUUGGCUGAAUCUUUGUUUUGGUCCUAUAAAAAGCGUCUCCUAUAUAGGUGACAUUCAGGACUGUUUUUACCAUAUCUUGCAGUUUCGAAGUUGGCAGAUUCCAAAUGCAAGCCAGAUUUAGAGGAGGGGGGCUUAAGGGGGGUGCGAAAAGCGUACAGAAAAACACCGAAUUUUAUCUUUAAUAAGACUUCUCCGGGGCAGAGUUGGCAGAGACGAAAAUUUGUCGAAUUCCAGUUUUUGGUGCAUUGGAAAGGCAAUUAAGAUACAGUUUUGUAGAUUUCUUGCAGAUAAACUGAUAUAUUUUUAAUGGUAAUCAAAAAAGAAAUAUGUUCAAUUUA